rnacentral:rRNA from 1 species
AUUGAACGCUGGCGGCAGGCCUAACACAUGCAAGUCGAACGGUAACAGAAAGCAGCUUGCUGCUUUGCUGACGAGUGGCGGACGGGUGAGUAAUGUCUGGGAAACUGCCCGAUGGAGGGGGAUAACUACUGGAAACGGUAGCUAAUACCGCAUAACGUCGCAAGACCAAAGAGGGGGACCUUCGGGCCUCUUGCCAUCGGAUGUGCCCAGAUGGGAUUAGCUAGUAGGUGGGGUAAAGGCUCACCUAGGCGACGAUCCCUAGCUGGUCUGAGAGGAUGACCAGCCACACUGGAACUGAGACACGGUCCAGACUCCUACGGGAGGCAGCAGUGGGGAAUAUUGCACAAUGGGCGCAAGCCUGAUGCAGCCAUGCCGCGUGUAUGAAGAAGGCCUUCGGGUUGUAAAGUACUUUCAGCGGGGAGGAAGGGAGUAAAGUUAAUACCUUUGCUCAUUGACGUUACCCGCAGAAGAAGCACCGGCUAACUCCGUGCCAGCAGCCGCGGUAGUACGGAGGGUGCAAGCGUUAAUCGGAAUUACUGGGCGUAAAGCGCACGCAGGCGGUUUGUUAAGUCAGAUGUGAAAUCCCCGGGCUCAACCUGGGAACUGCAUCUGAUACUGGCAAGCUUGAGUCUCGUAGAGGGGGGUAGAAUUCCAGGUGUAGCGGUGAAAUGCGUAGAGAUCUGGAGGAAUACCGGUGGCGAAGGCGGCCCCCUGGACGAAGACUGACGCUCAGGUGCGAAAGCGUGGGGAGCAAACAGGAUUAGAUACCCUGGUAGUCCACGCCGUAAACGAUGUCGACUUGGAGGUUGUGCCCUUGAGGCGUGGCUUCCGGAGCUAACGCGUUAAGUCGACCGCCUGGGGAGUACGGCCGCAAGGUUAAAACUCAAAUGAAUUGACGGGGGCCCGCACAAGCGGUGGAGCAUGUGGUUUAAUUCGAUGCAACGCGAAGAACCUUACCUGGUCUUGACAUCCACGGAAGUUUUCAGAGAUGAGAAUGUGCCUUCGGGAACCGUGAGACAGGUGCUGCAUGGCUGUCGUCAGCUCGUGUUGUGAAAUGUUGGGUUAAGUCCCGCAACGAGCGCAACCCUUAUCCUUUGUUGCCAGCGGUCCGGCCGGGAACUCAAAGGAGACUGCCAGUGAUAAACUGGAGGAAGGUGGGGAUGACGUCAAGUCAUCAUGGCCCUUACGACCAGGGCUACACACGUGCUACAAUGGCGCAUACAAAGAGAAGCGACCUCGCGAGAGCAAGCGGACCUCAUAAAGUGCGUCGUAGUCCGGAUUGGAGUCUGCAACUCGACUCCAUGAAGUCGGAAUCGCUAGUAAUCGUGGAUCAGAAUGCCACGGUGAAUACGUUCCCGGGCCU